rnacentral:rRNA from 1 species
CGGAGGUACUCGAGUGGCGAACGGGUGAGUAACACGUGGGCAAUCUGCCCUGCACUUCGGGAUAAGCCUGGGAAACUGGGUCUAAUACGGAUAGGACCUCAAGACGCAUGUCUUCUGGUGGAAAACUUUUGCGGUGUGGGAUGGGCCCGCGGCCUAUCAGCUUGUUGGUGGGGUGACGGCCUACCAAGGCGACGACGGGUAGCCGGCCUGAGAGGGUGUCCGGCCACACUGGGACUGAGAUACGGCCCAGACUCCUACGGGAGGCAGCAGUGGGGAAUAUUGCACAAUGGGCGCAAGCCUGAUGCAGCGACGCCCGCGUGGGGGAUGACGGCCUUCGGGUUGUAAACCUCUUUCACCAUCGACGAAGGUCCGGGUUUUCUCGGAUUGACGGUAGGUGGAGAAGAAGCACCGGCCAACUACGUGCCAGCAGCCGCGGUAAUACGUAGGGUGCGAGCGUUGUCCGGAAUUACUGGGCGUAAAGAGCUCGUAGGUGGUUUGUCGCGUUGUUCGUGAAAUCUCACGGCUUAACUGUGAGCGUGCGGGCGAUACGGGCAGACUAGAGUACUGCAGGGGAGACUGGAAUUCCUGGUGUAGCGGUGGAAUGCGCAGAUAUCAGGAGGAACACCGGUGGCGAAGGCGGGUCUCUGGGCAGUAACUGACGCUGAGGAGCGAAAGCGUGGGGAGCGAACAGGAUUAGAUACCCUGGUAGUCCACGCCGUAAACGGUGGGUACUAGGUGUGGGUUUCCUUCCUUGGGAUCCGUGCCGUAGCUAACGCAUUAAGUACCCCGCCUGGGGAGUACGGCCGCAAGGCUAAAACUCAAAGGAAUUGACGGGGGCCCGCACAAGCGGCGGAGCAUGUGGAUUAAUUCGAUGCAACGCGAAGAACCUUACCUGGGUUUGACAUGCACAGGACGCGUCUAGAGAUAGGCGUUCCCUUGUGGCCUGUGUGCAGGUGGUGCAUGGCUGUCGUCAGCUCGUGUCGUGAGAUGUUGGGUUAAGUCCCGCAACGAGCGCAACCCUUGUCUCAUGUUGCCAGCGGGUAAUGCCGGGGACUCGUGAGAGACUGCCGGGGUCAACUCGGAGGAAGGUGGGGAUGACGUCAAGUCAUCAUGCCCCUUAUGUCCAGGGCUUCACACAUGCUACAAUGGCCGGUACAAAGGGCUGCGAUGCCGUAAGGUUAAGCGAAUCCUUUUCAAGCCGGUCUCAGUUCGGAUUGGGGUCUGCAACUCGACCCCAUGAAGUCGGAGUCGCUAGUAAUCGCAGAUCAGCAACGCUGCGGUGAAUACGUUCCCGGGCCUUGUACACACCGCCCGUCACGUCAUGAAAGUCGGUAACACCCGAAGCCAG